GCCCCCUUACGUUUUGGCAUUUAUUUACAAGCGGCGCGACUGUGUUGAUGAUGACAGAGCGUCCCGCAGCUUUCUCCCAGUGUAACCACUCUGUAACAGACUCCCAGUGAUGAUGCAGGCGGACUUGAACUGGCGGCUGAUCGUACCCGGGGCCACGCAGGAGGAGGAGGAGGAACGGUACCGGAACCAGCGAGGGUGCCGGUGCUGCUGUGACGGAGCGCAUCGGGAGAAGGCGAGCUUCUACAGCCUGGUCCUAGUGCUGCUGCUGGUGCUGGUGCUGGUGCUGCUGGUGCUGGUGCUGGUGCUGCUUCUGCUGAUGGGAGCACUGGGAUGGUUUGAUCUGACCGGAGACCAAAAGCUCGGGACGUCUCCUGACAGCACUUUACCAGACUAUGAAGCACUGACGUCAGCACUCCAGGGCGGUGAUUUGAUGAAUUGGCCAAGUGCGAUGCUGACAGGUAGAGUUGCUAUGGAAACCACAGUAUAAAUGCAUUUGGAAGAAGUUUAGAACUAAAGAGCUUUUAUUUUUAAAUUAUUACAUGUAAUAGCGUAAAUAAAGUUAAUGCUAACGGUUGGCU
rnacentral:lncRNA from 1 species